CCAGAUUUGAAACCACUGACAAUCUAGCACAUAUCCCAUGAAAGAUAAGGGAAACCAACAUAUCAUUCAGUAGGUGAAUGGAUAAAUGAAUUAUGGGUACAGUCACACAAUAGAAUAUAAUUCAGAACUAAAAAAAACAAAAUGAGGUAUCAAGCCUUUAAAAGUGUGGCAGAACCUUAAAUUCAUAUUGCUGAGUGAAAGAAGCCAAUCUCAAAAGGUACAUACUGUAUGAUUCUAACUAUAUGACAUUCUGGUAUAGGCAAAACUAUGGAGACAGCAAAAAGAUCAAUGUUUCCAGAGGUUGGGUAGGGGGAGACAUGAAUAGCUGUAGCACAGAGGGGUUUUAGAGCAGUGAAACUACUCUGUAUGAUACUAUAAUGACAGAUUCAUGUCAUUGUAUAGCUGUCAGACUGGUAUAAUGUACAACACCAAGAGUGAAUCCUAAUGUAAACUAUGUACUCUGGUUGAUAAUGAUGCGUCAAUAUUGGUUCAUUGAUUGUAACAAAUGUACCGCUCUGGUGCCCCGAGUUGUUAGUGGGGAAGAUUGGGGUGGGGGAUGAAAUGUAGAAACUCUCUACUUUCUCCUCAGUUUUUCUGUAAGCCUAAGAGUCAUGUAAAAAAAUAAAGACUAUUCAUUUUUAAAUACAUAAAUAAAGCAAAGAGAAAAAAGAAUGAGAGUA
rnacentral:lncRNA from 1 species